CUAAAGGUGAAUGAGGCAUAAUAGGGUGGCAUUUCUUUGCUCUAGGUGCUGCCAGGAUUUCAUCAAGUCAGGGAAAAAGUUCACCCCCACACUCUCCCACAAACAUCAGUAACAGCAACCAGUUAGCAUAAUAGCUGCUCUUGAAAGCCAGAAGUACACAAGGAGAGGGAAGAAAUAUGUCAGCACUUCAGUGACUAAGCCACAAAGUGCUGCCAGAGGCAAAAGUCACAGCUGAAGUACCUGGUGAAUUUAGUGACACGGGACGAUUCCUAGCAACUGGGACGCCACAAAAAUGAGAUGGGAGAAUGCUUUCUGGAUGGUUGCCUGUUUACUGUUUGCAUCUCUACCCAGAGAUCAUCUUCAAGAUGUUGCAGAGGAAGGGAGAAGGGGACUCCAGCACAUUAUUUACACAACAGGAGCCAUGAUCUGACAGGUCAGUUGGACACAACGUGCCAUGCAUUUGUUGGAGAAACUGUCAUUUUGCCUUGUACCAUCACCUCUCCUGGAGAGCUGGAUGUUUCCGAUUCAAAGCUCUACUGGCAGAUAGAGUCUAUUUUAGUGCAUUUUUUUCACAAUGGGGAAGAUUCACUGAGGUACCAGGAUGAAAAUUAUCGUGGCAGAACCAGUCUUUUUUUGGAUGAGGUGAAGCAUGGCAACUUUUCCCUACAGCUUUCCAACAUCCGAUUAGAGGAUGCAGCUGUAUAUACUUGCAUCUAUAAACAGGCUAGGGCUCUCUCCAACAAAACACAGAAAUCUAAAAUUAAACUCGAUGUAUCAGAUAACAGUCAGGCUUCCCCAAGAAAUCCUGGUGAUGCACAGGGACUAGAUAUACUUGCUCUCUCUUUUCAUCUCCUGGUAACGCUGGUGGUUUGGCAUUUGUGACUGGGAAAGCUAAACUUCGGUUUGGGAAGUUCUCCUCAUCAGAGGACCUUGCUGUACAAAAUAGCUCUGUAAGGUUAGGACUGCUUCAGAGACACGUCAGAGGCACCGAUAUUUGGAAACACACCGAGCACUAGGUUUAUGUCCUGUAUUUUGGUGCGCAAAAGAAACCAAAGGCAGUAAAACUCAGAGGUGGCAAGCCUGCUUUUUCAUUUGUUUCUUGAAGCCCAGUUUUAGCGCUGCCAAUGUGAGCAUUUUAGUAUUUGAUGGUUUUGCUUUAAUGACAACUGCAGUUUAGAUGAAGACCUACAAAGCCACAUCAUCAUGUUAUAACUGGCCCCAGGGAGAGCUUUUGCUUAAGAUCCCAUCUACAGUCCUUCGAGAAAAUUGAAAGGAGAAGGGGUAAUUACCCUCUGUGUCAGAUAAAAACUGGAAGUAGGAAGAGGCUGUCUUCGUGAAACGUAAGGAUGGAAACCUUGUGAAAUCUGAGCCUGCGGAACUUUAGCUUCUAUUUUUACUCUUAAACGUCAUGGCUAUCAGUAGUGAUUUUUUUCCCACCCCCAAAAAAAUGAACUAUUUCUUCAGCAGAAGGGUAAAGCUGACAGAUGAAGAUGAGGGAGGUUAGAAAACUUCAGUGCAGAGGAAAAAAGUGCUGUAUUAUUACAAAACCCACUUCUAGAUAAGUCAAAGGCUUUAGAAGGCUGAAUUUAGUAUUUCCUCUUCUUGCCAUGAAAGUUGGAAAAGUAAAUGUCAUCAUCAGGCAAAAGCUGUAUUCUUAAGCUAGAACUGUGUGAUAAAAGAUUGAUAUUGUGACACUGUUUCUUGUUUAAGAAUGAUACCUUCAGAUGAAAAAAGGAAUUAAAAACUGGUCAAGGAAUGAUAACUGUUACCCAUGCAGGUAAAAUGUUCAAUGCAAGUAGUACAAGAUGUCUGGGGUAAAGCUAAGACUGAAAGGAUCCUGUUUACCAAGGGUAUCAAGAAAGUACAGAAGUUUUGUGUCAGGCCGGAGCCUUUGCAACUGCGCUACUACAGAACUGAGAAGUGUCUGGAGAACUGCUCACCUUGGUCGGCAUGAAGAGUGGUGAAUGCAAUGCAGUCCUUUUGCCUGCGCCCUCAAGCAGAGGAAAGUGACUCAUAAGGACGCACACAGAGUCAUUUUGAUUUGAAACAGUUCCACCCUCUUUCCAGAGGAAAGAUGGCGCUGUUUUUGCAAGGAAAGGACCUGUAUAAAACAGUGCUUAAAAUAGUACCCACUGAGGUAAAGAUUGUUAACUUUGACUUUCACUGGCAAAUGGCCCUUUCCCCAUGGUGGGGAAAACAGACAAAAUGCCACAUGCAGUGUGCACUGCUGCAGCAGUGAAGCUCAGUUGGUACUCAGGCUGCCCUUGCUACAGAGCAGCUUAGUAUAGCAACUGGGGACCCAUUUAGCAGACAGAUUUGAAUACUGAAAGACAGACAUACUGUGAUUGUCUCCUUUGUCCCACCCUCCAAACAUCGUUUGUCUCAGAUUAUAUAUAUUUUUCAAAACAGAAGAGUUAAUUAAAAAUAAAGCCUUAAAUUCUGAAAAAAAACCCUGCUAA
rnacentral:lncRNA from 1 species